ACGGAUAUCUUCCAAUUGGUAGGAUUAUGGUCCCCAAAACCAUCGAUGCUGGUUCGAGUCCAGCUAUCCGUG
rnacentral:tRNA from 2 species